AAGUCGUAACAAGGUUUCCGUAGGUGAACCUGCGGAAGGAUCAUUAAUGAUUGACCGAGAGGUCUUAUCUUAAACAUCCCUCACCUCUGUGAACCGUUUGACCUCUGGGUCUAACAACAUCUAUACAAACAUCAGUGUAAUGAACGUCUUGUUAUAUUAACAGAAACAAAACUUUCAACAACGGAUCUCUUGGCUCUC
rnacentral:misc_RNA from 1 species